CAGCAAACUCCUUAGCCCGAGAGCCCACUGAGUUGUCAAACAGCUUCUCCUCCCUAAGUGGUCCCCAGUCUCAAGUGGACAUUUCUAGAAGACGGUGAGUGGAUUGUUAGCAUCUCCUCUUCCUUUCCUUUUCAAAUGCUCACAGACUGGACUUAAACAUAGGCCGACUAAAUGGACACACAAGUUGAGCCUCCAAAGCCUGAAUGGCCGAAGCCUGAAGUUCUCCUGAGUUUCAAACUCUUUGAGUGCCAACAUCCUGCUAUGGUAGAAAAUUCUAGAUUUCAACUCAUGUCAUGGAGAGUCAUGGUCAAAAUACGGAGGCACUCUAAACACUAUAUACAACUACCACCGGGCUCUCUGUAUGUACGGAGCAUAUACAAUUGGAGUGAGUUUCCUGACUGGACUCAGGUCCAGUUCGAACUAGAGCUCCUUUUGAAUAUGCAAAUAUUCCCAAAUUCGGAAAACCCUGAGAUCUAAAACACUUAGAAUUCUGAGUAAGCAAUGGUUCACCCAUUCCAACGUUUCCGAUUUUGACCCCUGAAUACUACUGUGGCUGUCUUCAUCUAGUUUCCAGAAUCCUGGGUCCCCAGAGCUCUUUCUGCAAGGUGGUAAGUCUCUCUGAGGUUGCCCAGUGGAGGUGUCCUGUUUGGAAGACAGGUUGGAAAGCUGUAGUUUCCAGAAGAAUCCAUUAGCAUAGAGUCUGUGUGUGUGUUUUUUUUUUCUUUCUUUAAGACUUAUUUAUUUUAUGUAUGUGAGUACACUGUGGCUCUCUUCAGACACACCAGAAGAGGGCAUUGGAUCCCAUUACAGUCGGUUGUGAGCCUCCAUGUGGUAGCUGGGAAUUGAACUCAGGAUCUCUGGAAGAGCUGAGACAACGCUCCAACCCAGAGCCUGUGUUUCUUAAUGGCUGCAUAGAGAUCGUGUUUUAGGAUUUACCUUUAUAGAAAGGCGGCUGAGACAGGAAGUCGUAUAAGGAUGGUGAGUGACUUCUCUUCAUCCGUAGAAUAUUCUAACACCUUACUGUGCUACUUUCCCCAUGGUCUCUCCUCUGCUACCGCCAGUCAUCUUUCCCACUGGCUGACAUCCGUGGAAGUUGCCAGUGCCCCUAAGCAGGUAAAUUCGCAGUCAGGCAAAGUUCAUUCACCUCAGAAAAAGGAGGCCGAAGCGGAGCGGAAGAGAUGAUACCAGAACAUCAGAGGUGUGAGAGAAAUCUCCAGCAGGUGGGCUGGUAUACAGUCUAUAUAAAGAGGGCAUUGCUCUUGCCAAGUCAGUAGGAGCCAUCGGUCCCGUGGGCUCAGACCAUUGGCGAAUGGGCAUGUGGUAGAACACAUCCAAGGCAAAAAAAAAAAAAAAAAAAAAAAAAAAAAAAAAAAAAAAAAAAAAAAAAAAUCAGGAUUCUUAUUUCUGGCCCCAGGAAGCAGGGAGCCUAUUUGUCUUCCUGUUUAUCCUCUCGGCGGGAGAGCAAGAGAGGAAGGAAGAAAGAACCAGAGAGGAAAAUCCCUGUGGUUCUCCUCUCCUGAGGCGUACAGUGCACCUGUUGUGUUGUAAAUGGAGGAGUAAGUCCCCUUUGUAAAAUUCCUCUGUGAGAGGAAUAUGAGAUUAAAGAACUAAUUAUGCUCCAAAGGCUCUGGAACUUGGGGCCACGAGGGAGGGGCUCCCAGAAAUGUCGCAAACGAGAAGAUUGGGGAUAGGGGAAGAAAGGGGAAGGAGAAGAAACACAGGAGGGGGAGGGGUGAGGAAGAGAGAGGCAGGGAAGAAGGAAGUAGCAAGGGAGAAGAGAGGACCCUGCUGGCCAAGUGCUUUUGUUGGAAGUUGGGGAACACUACAUAUCAUAAGGCUUGGGGGACCUUCCCUGAUGCUUUUGAAUGUCUCUAGACUAGAACAGUCCGGAGAAAGCAGAAAGGUUAACUCGUGGCCCGGACAGAAGGGCACGAUCACACUGGAGUCCCCGUGUGCUGGAAGUUCCGCAUACCUAUGAGGUACUCUCAGCCCAUUUCACACUGGCGGGCAGUUAGGCUCGAGGUGGGUCUGUGGGCGAUCGAAGGCUGCGAUGCCUGCAAAGUUGCGGUCCCCUGCCCAGGUACUUAGCAGUUAUCACGAACAUGCAGAGCCGCAUAGCAGUCUUCAAAUACUGGAACUGAACCUGCGUACUGCCGAAGAAGGUCCACCUGAUCUUUCUCCGCGUGGUUUUUAGAGUAAUCUUCAAAGUGGAGAGGAACUUGGAUGCAAAGAGGUGACAGAACCCUGCUACUCAUCUUUGAGGAACACUACUUGGCUGUCCUGGCAAAGCAGUAGCUGAAGACUGGUCUCAGAUACGCUUCUAAAAUUUAAAUUAUCUUUUAAUGUGUUUGUUUUGUAUGUGUGCAUGUGUGCGGGCAUGCCUUUGCCAGGGUAGGCAUGUGGAGGAGAUCUGGGAAGGGGGACGGCUUCAGUCAGUUCUUCUAUGCGGGUCCUGGGCAUCGGCUCAUCAGGCUAGAUGACACGUGCCUGUACCUGCUAAGCCAUUUCAGUGUUGCCUCCCUCAGAUAGUUUUCAAUUUGGCCCAAACCGCAGCAUUUUAAAUAACACGCUAGAGGCUCGUCGCUCGUUUUUCUAUGUUAGGGAUCGCUGCCUAGGUAGGUCACUGAAAAACAUCUGGCUUCACAUAUAGAGAGAAUAUUCUGUGCUCCCUGCUUCAGGAGUAGGGUGGUGAGCACUCAUGGCUCUUCAGUGAUGCCCUUUGUAAUUUUCGCAGUGCCAGGGUUUGAACUCAGUGUUCCCAUAGUCUUCGAUAUUUUUUUCCCUUUCUGAAACAGGGUCUCCUGUUUUUUUUUUUGUUUGUUUGUUUUUUGUUUUUGUUUUUGUUUUUGUUUUUUCGAGACAGGGUUUCUCUGUAUAGCCCUGGCUGUC
rnacentral:lncRNA from 1 species